CGGCAGCGGUGCCCCGGCCGGGACGUGCGUGGCCGAGGCCGCAUGCGGGGCGCCGUCCUGAGGACCUACGUGUGCAGCGUGGUCUCCAAGGCGCUGCUGGAGGUGGGCUUCAUGGCGGGCCAGUGCGCCCUGUACGGCUUCGAGCUGGAGCCCCUCUACGCCUGCCGCCGCUGGCCCUGCCCCAACGCCGUCAACUGCUACGUCUCCCGGCCCACCGAGAAGACCGUCUUCCUCCUCUUCAUGCUGGCGGUGGCCUGCGUCUCCCUGCUGCUCAACCUCGCCGAGAUCUACCACCUGGCCACCACCAAGUGCCGGCCGGGCGCUCGGCCCCGCGGGAAGCGGCGCCCGGGGGUCCUGGCGGUGUGAGCGCGGCCGUGGGAUGGGGCUGGGCCCCCCCGGCGUGCGCGGGGCCGCGGCGGCUCCGAGCACGCCCGGGGGUGGUGGGGCRGGAGCGCGGCCCGGCUGGGAGUUAAUAAACGCCCGCGGCACCUCGCUGGCCUCCUGCUCGGCGCGCGGCACGGCCCCCCCGGCGCUGCCACCUCGCCGGCUUCAGCGGGGUCCCAAAGGCUCCCUCCGAGGAUCUUGCAAUAUCUCCUGGCUGCCUGGCGCCUGCUCCCGGGGCUGCCGGGGUGGCCGCCGGCGGGUGGGGACAGGGCCACCAGUGCAUGGGGAGGGGGACGGGCACUAGGAAGCGGCACGCUGCAGCGGGGUGGAGGGGGUGGGCAGCACCUCGUGCACGGGGGCCGGCGGCGCACAGGGGGAGGGCAGCGCAUGCAGGGUGAGCAGCACAGUGCGGGCUGCGCAGGCAAGUGCACGGGGACAGGGUGCAUGGGGACAGGGUGCACAGGAAGGAGGUGCACGGGGACAGGGUGCAUGGGGACAGGGUGCACGGGGAUGGACACACAAGGUCAGGGUGCAGAGGGACAGAGUGUACAAGGGGAUGGACAUACAAGGUCAGGGUGCACAGGAAGGAGGUGCAUGGGGACGAGCAGACAGGGUCAGGGUGCCCAGGGAUGCACAGCACCCAGCCCACAAGGUCAGCGCACGGGGACAGGGUGCACAGGAGCCCAGGCUGGGAGGGCACAGUGGGCGCCUGCACCGCCGCUCCCGGCUCCUGCACCCAGGGCAGCGCCUCGCCCUCGGGAGAAAGCAGGGGCCACCAGCGGGUUUC
rnacentral:lncRNA from 1 species